ACCCAGCUGAAGAGUCCAAAUAGAACGAAACGCGAGUCCUGGAU
rfam:Schistosoma haematobium scaffold695_23, whole genome shotgun sequence.